AUUGAUUUCACUCUUAUUUGCUUUUAACAAGGGUCUCAAAGUUAAAUCCAGUACAAUGCUUUUGACAGUUUCAAUUCUGGAUUUUUUAAGAAUUUUCAGGAAACUUAAGUUAGAAAUUAUUUAUUGAUUGUGAUACCUUAGGUGGCUGCUCAAUGUGGUGUUUUAGCAUGGUAUAGAUAUCAUCCCGAAGAUAUUGGAUGUCUUUACAAAAACACAUGAUGUUUUUAGCGCAUACCGAAGAUUAAAAUUGCUCCGAUGGUUGGAACUAGUAUGUAGAUAUUAAGUUUUGAUCUUUGUUUUGUUUCUUCUCCCUUGUGAUAGAGCAUGACUUCAAGGCUUUGUUAAAUUGAAAUGGUCAAAAUUACAAUGACAUCCACGUGGUCAAUACAUUGACA